GCUGGGUGCGGUGGUGCAGGCCUGUAAUCCCUGCAGCUCCGGAGGCUGAGGCAGGAGGAUCUUGAGUUCAAAGCCAGCCUCAGCAACUUAGUGGGCCCUAAGCAACUCAGUGAGACCCUGUCUCUA
rnacentral:sRNA from 1 species